rnacentral:rRNA from 1 species
UACGAAGGGGGCUAGCGUUGUUCGGAAUUACUGGGCGUAAAGGGCGCGUAGGCGGUGUGUCAAGUCAGGCGUGAAAGCCCCGGGCUCAACCUGGGAACCGCGCUUGAGACUGGCACGCUCGAGUUCGGGAGAGGAUGGUGGAAUUCCCAGUGUAGAGGUGAAAUUCGUAGAUAUUGGGAAGAACACCGAUGGCGAAGGCAGCCAUCUGGACCGACACUGACGCUGAGGUGCGAAAGCGUGGGGAGCAAACAGG